GAGAGCGUCAAAACUUAUUGGUUAAAGGGAUGCCUUUAUGAGUAAAACAUGAGAAAUAUUCACUUACUGUCAAGAACAACUAAGAGGAUGUUAAAGGACAGCAGAGGGAGCCCCUGCAUGACUUAAGAAAACCGAAGGCAGGCAGAACAGAGACUUUUCAGGGUGCGAAGUUACGCAUGGUGCCCUCUACUGGAGUCACUGGUAAAGAGUUUUGAUUUCAAAAAGAAAUUGGCGUAGAAUUUGUUCUUGUUCCAUUGUAUUGGUGAAGAAACUGAAGUUCAAAGUAAUUGGCAGAACAUACUACUUUGGGCAGUAUGGGAGUAGAGGCCUAUGGACGACCAGCAACAGGUUCUUAACAUUUGAGUCCAUUGAUAUAUUCGAAGCUCUACCCUUCUGGAAAAUAUCAUAAGAUUUGAAAAAUAUAGCUGCAAAGAGCAAAAGAAGAUUUGCGUCUCAAUAGAAAAGAUCUACAGAUUGAAUAUUGCAUAGAAAACAAUUUAUUCACCUUACAAAGAUAAAAGGAUGAAAACGCCCUGAGCAGUAAUAAAACUUCGCCAUUUUGGGGAGGGCCUCAAGAGGCUAUCUUAUCAAUCUUGGUCGUUGGAAAAGUAUCUGUAAUCUCAAAGAAAACUUUAAAUACUGUCCAAGGAAAAUAUCCAAAUACAUCUUAAAAUGCCAC
rnacentral:lncRNA from 1 species